UUAAGCGACUAAGCGUACACGGUGGAUGCCCUGGCAGUCAGAGGCGAUGAAGGACGUGCUAAUCUGCGAUAAGCGUCGGUAAGGUGAUAUGAACCGUUAUAACCGGCGAUUUCCGAAUGGGGAAACCCAGUGUGAUUCGUCACACUAUCAUUAACUGAAUCCAUAGGUUAAUGAGGCGAACCGGGGGAACUGAAACAUCUAAGUACCCCGAGGAAAAGAAAUCAACCGAGAUUCCCCCAGUAGCGGCGAGCGAACGGGGAGCAGCCCAGAGCCUGAAUCAGUGUGUGUGUUAGUGGAAGCGUCUGGAAAGGCGCGCGAUACAGGGUGACAGCCCCGUACACAAAAAUGCACAUACUGUGAGCUCGAUGAGUAGGGCGGGACACGUGGUAUCCUGUCUGAAUAUGGGGGGACCAUCCUCCAAGGCUAAAUACUCCUGACUGACCGAUAGUGAACCAGUACCGUGAGGGAAAGGCGAAAAGAACCCCGGCGAGGGGAGUGAAAAAGAACCUGAAACCGUGUACGUACAAGCAGUGGGAGCCUCUUAAUGGGGUGACUGCGUACCUUUUGUAUAAUGGGUCAGCGACUUAUAUUCUGUAGCAAGGUUAACCGAAUAGGGGAGCCGAAGGGAAACCGAGUCUUAACUGGGCGUUAAGUUGCAGGGUAUAGACCCGAAACCCGGUGAUCUAGCCAUGGGCAGGUUGAAGGUUGGGUAACACUAACUGGAGGACCGAACCGACUAAUGUUGAAAAAUUAGCGGAUGACUUGUGGCUGGGGGUGAAAGGCCAAUCAAACCGGGAGAUAGCUGGUUCUCCCCGAAAGCUAUUUAGGUAGCGCCUCGUGAAUUCAUCUCCGGGGUAGAGCACUGUUUCGGCAAGGGGGUCAUCCCGACUUACCAACCCGAUGCAAACUGCGAAUACCGGAGAAUGUUAUCACGGGAGACACACGGCGGGUGCUAACGUCCGUCGUGAAGAGGAAACAACCCAGACCGCCAGCUAAGGUCCCAAAGUCAUGGUUAAGUGGGAAACGAUGUGGGAAGGCCCAGACAGCCAGGAUGUUGGCUUAGAAGCAGCCAUCAUUUAAAGAAAGCGUAAUAGCUCACUGGUCGAGUCGGCCUGCGCGGAAGAUGUAACGGGGCUAAACCAUGCACCGAAGCUGCGGCAGCGACGCUUAUGCGUUGUUGGGUAGGGGAGCGUUCUGUAAGCCUGCGAAGGUGUGCUGUGAGGCAUGCUGGAGGUAUCAGAAGUGCGAAUGCUGACAUAAGUAACGAUAAAGCGGGUGAAAAGCCCGCUCGCCGGAAGACCAAGGGUUCCUGUCCAACGUUAAUCGGGGCAGGGUGAGUCGACCCCUAAGGCGAGGCCGAAAGGCGUAGUCGAUGGGAAACAGGUUAAUAUUCCUGUACUUGGUGUUACUGCGAAGGGGGGACGGAGAAGGCUAUGUUGGCCGGGCGACGGUUGUCCCGGUUUAAGCGUGUAGGCUGGUUUUCCAGGCAAAUCCGGAAAAUCAAGGCUGAGGCGUGAUGACGAGGCACUACGGUGCUGAAGCAACAAAUGCCCUGCUUCCAGGAAAAGCCUCUAAGCAUCAGGUAACAUCAAAUCGUACCCCAAACCGACACAGGUGGUCAGGUAGAGAAUACCAAGGCGCUUGAGAGAACUCGGGUGAAGGAACUAGGCAAAAUGGUGCCGUAACUUCGGGAGAAGGCACGCUGAUAUGUAGGUGAAGUCCCUUGCGGAUGGAGCUGAAAUCAGUCGAAGAUACCAGCUGGCUGCAACUGUUUAUUAAAAACACAGCACUGUGCAAACACGAAAGUGGACGUAUACGGUGUGACGCCUGCCCGGUGCCGGAAGGUUAAUUGAUGGGGUUAGCGGUAACGCGAAGCUCUUGAUCGAAGCCCCGGUAAACGGCGGCCGUAACUAUAACGGUCCUAAGGUAGCGAAAUUCCUUGUCGGGUAAGUUCCGACCUGCACGAAUGGCGUAAUGAUGGCCAGGCUGUCUCCACCCGAGACUCAGUGAAAUUGAACUCGCUGUGAAGAUGCAGUGUACCCGCGGCAAGACGGAAAGACCCCGUGAACCUUUACUAUAGCUUGACACUGAACAUUGAGCCUUGAUGUGUAGGAUAGGUGGGAGGCUUUGAAGUGUGGACGCCAGUCUGCAUGGAGCCGACCUUGAAAUACCACCCUUUAAUGUUUGAUGUUCUAACGUUGGCCCCUAAUCGGGGUUGCGGACAGUGUCUGGUGGGUAGUUUGACUGGGGCGGUCUCCUCCUAAAGAGUAACGGAGGAGCACGAAGGUUGGCUAAUCCUGGUCGGACAUCAGGAGGUUAGUGCAAUGGCAUAAGCCAGCUUGACUGCGAGCGUGACGGCGCGAGCAGGUGCGAAAGCAGGUCAUAGUGAUCCGGUGGUUCUGAAUGGAAGGGCCAUCGCUCAACGGAUAAAAGGUACUCCGGGGAUAACAGGCUGAUACCGCCCAAGAGUUCAUAUCGACGGCGGUGUUUGGCACCUCGAUGUCGGCUCAUCACAUCCUGGGGCUGAAGUAGGUCCCAAGGGUAUGGCUGUUCGCCAUUUAAAGUGGUACGCGAGCUGGGUUUAGAACGUCGUGAGACAGUUCGGUCCCUAUCUGCCGUGGGCGCUGGAGAACUGAGGGGGGCUGCUCCUAGUACGAGAGGACCGGAGUGGACGCAUCACUGGUGUUCGGGUUGUCAUGCCAAUGGCACUGCCCGGUAGCUAAAUGCGGAAGAGAUAAGUGCUGAAAGCAUCUAAGCACGAAACUUGCCCCGAGAUGAGUUCUCCCUGACUCCCUGAGAGUCCUGAAGGAACGUUGAAGACGACGACGUUGAUAGGCCGGGUGUGUAAGCGCAGCGAUGCGUUGAGCUAACCGGUACUAAUGAACCGUGAGGCUUAACCU
rnacentral:rRNA from 1 species